rnacentral:rRNA from 1 species
AUUGAACGCUGGCGGCAUGCUUUACACAUGCAAGUCGAACGGUAACAGGCCGCAAGGUGCUGACGAGUGGCGAACGGGUGAGUAAUGCAUCGGAACGUGCCCAGUCGUGGGGGAUAACGCAGCGAAAGCUGCGCUAAUACCGCAUACGAUCUAUGGAUGAAAGCGGGGGACCGUAAGGCCUCGCGCGAUUGGAGCGGCCGAUGUCAGAUUAGGUAGUUGGUGGGGUAAAGGCUCACCAAGCCAACGAUCUGUAGCUGGUCUGAGAGGACGACCGGCCACACUGGGACUGAGACACGGCCCAGACUGCUACGGGAGGCAGCAGUGGGGAAUUUUGGACAAGGGGCGCAAGCCUGAUCCAGCAAUGCCGCGUGCAGGAAGAAGGCCUUCGGGUUGUAAACUGCUUUUGUACGGAACGAAACGGUCCUGGUUAAUACCCGGGGCUAAUGACGGUACCGUAAGAAUAAGCACCGGCUAACUACGUGCCAGCCGCCGCAGUAAGAC